rnacentral:rRNA from 1 species
UACGUAGGGUGCGAGCGUUGUCCGGAAUUAUUGGGCGUAAAGAGCUCGUAGGCGGUUUGUCACGUCUGCUGUGAAAUCCCGCGGCUCAACUGCGGGUCUGCAGUCGAUACGGGCAGGCUAGAGUUCGGUAGGGGAGACUGGAAUUCCUGGUGUAGCGGUGAAAUGCGCAGAUAUCAGGAGGAACACCGGUGGCGAAGGCGGGUCUCUGGGCCGAUACUGACGCUGAGGAGCGAAAGCGUGGGGAGCGAACAGG